GAAUCGCUAGUAACCGUGAAUCAGCCUCGUCACGGUGAAUACGUUCUCGGGUUUUGUACACACCGCCCGUCACGUCAUGGAAGUGGGCAGUGCCCAAAGAUCUCGCAAGAGGUUUAAGGCAAGGUUCAUGACUGGGACGAAGUCAACUUACGGCUUCCUAUGCGAGCAAUCGCAUAAGCAAAAUCUAACUA
rnacentral:ncRNA from 1 species